CGGUGCUUCCCCCCGGGCCCCGCCGCGCCGCUCCCGCCUCCCGCCUCCCGCCGCGAUGUCCCGCCGCGGGCAGGAGCCCGACAGCGGAGCCGAGUCCCUCUCUUCAGAUGAAAAAGAGGUGGUGGCCAGCAGUGCGGAGGGAGAGGGCUCGGCCGAGGAGCACGCAGUGGGUGAGCAGACACGUGGCUGAUGGCUUUCCCCACACGUGGGAUGGCGUGGCCGGCCUCGCACCCCCCGUUUCCCCACACCAUGAUAAAAACCACAGUGUAGACACUGCUGCAGCUCCUUAAGUCACUUGCUUUGCAAUGCUGGUUUCUUUUUAACUUGCAUUCGACAGAAUAAUUUAUUAAAGCCGCCUUUGGUGCAUCCCCGUGAGUCACAUCACUGGUGGGACACACCGGCUCCCACUGAUGCUUCACCCAUCUCAUGUGCGUGUCACAGAAAAUCAUAAUUUAACUGGGUGGUCUGGGGCAUGCCACGGAUGAAGCUCUGGAAUAAUCCCAGGUUGGAUGAAACAUUAAAAUUAAGCAUCUUGAACAUCACACGUACACUUCAGAAGGG
rnacentral:lncRNA from 1 species